GCUCCAGUGGCGCAAUUGGUCAGCGCGCAGUACUAAUACUGUUGACCAAGGCCGAGGUUGUGAGUUCAAGCCUCACCUGGAGCA